rnacentral:lncRNA from 1 species
UUUUAUAAAUCUAUAACUGUUUUAAAGUGGAAAGUUUACUUGGUGGAGUGACUCACACCUGUAAUCCCAGCAGUUUGGGAGGCCGAGGUGGAAGGAUGGCUUGAGCUCAGGAGUUUGAGACUAGCCUGAGCAACAUGGCGAGACCCCAUCUCUACAAAAAGUAAAAGAAAUGAGCUACGCUGGAGUCUGAGGUGGGAGGAUUGCUUAAGCCCAGGAGGCUAAGGCUGCAGUGAACCAUAAUUACCUCACUGCACUCCAGGCUGGGUGACAGAGUGAGGCCCUCUCAAAGUAGAGAGAGAGAGAGAGAGAGAGAGAGAGAGAGAGAGAGAGAGAGAGAGAGAGAGAGAGAGAGAGAAAUGAAAAAUAAAAAGUGAAAAAGAAAGCAAGAAAAGAAAAGCAGGGCAAGGUGGCUCAUACCUGUAAUCCCAACACUUUGGGAGGCCAAGACCCGCGGAUGACUUUGAGCCAGGAGUUCAAGACCAGCCUAGGGUGAAACCCCGUCUCUAUCAAAAAUACAAAAAUUAGCCGGGAGUGGUGCUACAGCCUGUAGUCCCAUUACUUCAGAGGCUGAGGCAGGAGGAUCGCUGGAGCCCAGGAGGUGGAGCCCAGGAGCCCAGUGAGCCCUGAUUGUGCCACUGCACUCCCGCGUGGGUGACAGAGUGAGACCUUGUCUCAAAAACAAACAAAAAAAACCACAUUCUUCCUAAAAAAAUAAAAUAAUAAAUAAUAAAUAAUAAAUAAAUAAAUAAAUAAAUAAAUAAAUAAAUAAAUGUGUGUUUAUUUAGGAAACUAUGCCCACACCUCGACGCUCGCGCUCAGAAGCGCCUAGCAAGCCUCAGGCACACGCGGAUGGCCAGGAUCCCCAGCAGGUCUCUGGAGCAGAGUUCGCCACCCUUCACUCUGGGCCCAACUGAGAGGGCAAAGGUUCCCAAAUCCGAGGACACUCCAUUCUUUGUUUUCAAGACCCACCUCUAGACCCCAUCCCCUGAACUUCAGUCAUCAGUAUUUCACCUGGAAGAGAAUCGUCAUAGCAGUAUGUGUUCCCAGCUACAGCUGAAAUAGUUUUCACGCAUUGAGUAAAACUGGGUGGUGCACCCCAUCCCCUGAACUUCAGUCAUCAGUGUUUCACCUGGAAGAGAAUCGUCGUAGCAGUAUAUGUUCCCACCUACAGCUGAAAUAGUUUUCACGCAUUGAGUAAAACUGGGUGGUGCACCUGA